rnacentral:rRNA from 1 species
AGAGUUUGAUCCUGGCUCAGGACGAACGCUGGCGGCGUGCCUAAUACAUGCAAGUCGAACGAACUCUGGUAUUGAUUGGUGCUUGCAUCAUGAUUUACAUUUGAGUGAGUGGCGAACUGGUGAGUAACACGUGGGAAACCUGCCCAGAAGCGGGGGAUAACACCUGGAAACAGAUGCUAAUACCGCAUAACAACUUGGACCGCAUGGUCUGAGUUUGAAAGAUGGCUUCGGCUAUCACUUUUGGAUGGUCCCGCGGCGUAUUAGCUAGAUGGCGGGGUAACGGCUCACCAUGGCAAUGAUACGUAGCCGACCUGAGAGGGUAAUCGGCCACAUUGGGACUGAGACACGGCCCAAACUCCUACGGGAGGCAGCAGUAGGGAAUCUUCCACAAUGGACGAAAGUCUGAUGGAGCAACGCCGCGUGAGUGAAGAAGGGUUUCGGCUCGUAAAACUCUGUUGUUAAAGAAGAACAUAUCUGAGAGUAACUGUUCAGGUAUUGACGGUAUUUAACCAGAAAGCCACGGCUAACUACGUGCCAGCAGCCGCGGUAAUACGUAGGUGGCAAGCGUUGUCCGGAUUUAUUGGGCGUAAAGCGAGCGCAGGCGGUUUUUUAAGUCUGAUGUGAAAGCCUUCGGCUCAACCGAAGAAGUGCAUCGGAAACUGGGAAACUUGAGUGCAGAAGAGGACAGUGGAACUCCAUGUGUAGCGGUGAAAUGCGUAGAUAUAUGGAAGAACACCAGUGGCGAAGGCGGCUGUCUGGUCUGUAACUGACGCUGAGGCUCGAAAGUAUGGGUAGCAAACAGGAUUAGAUACCCUGGUAGUCCAUACCGUAAACGAUGAAUGCUAAGUGUUGGAGGGUUUCCGCCCUUCAGUGCUGCAGCUAACGCAUUAAGCACUCCGCCUGGGGAGUACGAUCGCAAGAUUGAAACUCAAAGGAAUUGACGGGGGCCCGCACAAGCGGUGGAGCAUGUGGUUUAAUUCGAAGCAACGCGAAGAACCUUACCAGGUCUUGACAUACCAUGAAAAACUAAGAGAUUAGUCUUUCCCUUCGGGGACAUGGAUACAGGUGGUGCAUGGUUGUCGUCAGCUCGUGUCGUGAGAUGUUGGGUUAAGUCCCGCAACGAGCGCAACCCUUAUUAUCAGUUGCCAGCAUUCAGUUGGGCACUCUAAUGAGACUGCCGGUGACAAACCGGAGGAAGGUGGGGAUGACGUCAAGUCAUCAUGCCCCUUAUGACCUGGGCUACACACGUGCUACAAUGGGCAGUACAACGAGGAGCGAACUUGUGAAGGCAAGCGAGUCUCUGAAAGCUGUUCUCAGUUCGGACUGUAGGCUGCAACUCGCCUACACGAAGCUGGAAUCGCUAGUAAUCGCGGAUCAGCACGCCGCGGUGAAUACGUUCCCGGGCCUUGUACACACCGCCCGUCACACCAUGAGAGUUUGUAACACCCAAAGCCGGCCGGAUAACCUAGUUUACUAGGAGUCAGCCGUCUAAGGUGGGACAAAUGAUUAGGGUGAAGUCGUAACAAGGUAACC